UGGAGAAAUGGUAUGACUCAGGAGGUAACACAACACUCCACUUUCUCAGGCAGGUGUUAUAAAGGGAUGCUUCAGUGCUUGCUGAGCCAGAGAGCAAAGGGCUCUUUAGCAUGUGGCCCAUCACUGAACUUUCCAUGGCAACAGGAUCAGGCGCAACCAAGGCACAGGACACUGACUGCCAUCAGUGGUACACUGAGAAACUAGCCACGAUGUUGAAGAGUCCUCCGUGUCUCUUGCCAGGUCCUUGAUCUCAGUAGUUUGCCAUAAUCAACCUAAAAGAGAGAUGAUGGAUGGCCCAAGAAAAAGCUGAUUUUUCAUGUCACCAUGUUACUAUAAAAUGGCAAUGGGAGAAGGUCUGUAAUUCCUUUCUCAAACACAACUCCUGACCCAGAUACAGUAAUGUGGCGUGAUUCACAAGUCA